rnacentral:misc_RNA from 1 species
UCAAACUUGGUCAUUUAGAGGAAGUAAAAGUCGUAACAAGGUUUCCGUAGGUGAACCUGCGGAAGGAUCAUUAUUGAAUAUACUUGAUGAGUUUGUAGCUGGCCCCCUCGGGGCAUGUGCACGACCCGUCUCGACUCUAUUCAUCCACCUGUGCACCUUUUGUAGUCUUCUUCUGUAGGGGAACUGACCAUCUCGGCUGAAAGGCCGGAUAUGAGGACUGCCCAGUGGGCUCUCCUCUGGGUCAUGGAUCUCCUUCGAGGGACUAUGUCUUUUAUCAUAAACCACAUAGUAUGUUGCCAGAAUGUAGUCAAUGGGCCAUCGUGCCUACAAAUAUUUAUACAACUUUCAGCAACGGAUCUCUUGGCUCUCGCAUCGAUGAAGAACGCAGC